rnacentral:sRNA from 1 species
UCUUCGUGUUCGAGAUAAAGGCGGUCUU